rnacentral:rRNA from 1 species
UACAGAGGGGGCAAGCGUUGUUCGGAAUUACUGGGCGUAAAGGGCGCGUAGGCGGCCUUCUAAGUCGAACGUGAAAUCCCUGGGCUCAACCCAGGAACUGCGUCCGAUACUGGAAGGCUUGAAUCCGGGAGAGGGAUGCGGAAUUCCAGGUGUAGCGGUGAAAUGCGUAGAUAUCUGGAGGAAUACCGGUGGCGAAGGCGGCAUCCUGGACCAUAACUGACGCUGAGGCGCGAAAGCUAGGGGAGCAAACGGG